GGAGGCGACCGAGCGCCUGGUGGGCUCCACGGUCUUCAAAACCGUUGAGGCGGUGAAAGCCGCCUGGCGGGUUCGAUUCCCGUCCGCCUCCG
rnacentral:tRNA from 1 species